rnacentral:rRNA from 1 species
AGUGAACGCUGGCGGUAGGCCUAACACAUGCAAGUCGAACGGCACCCCAGUAAGAGCUUGCUCUUACGGGUGGCGAGUGGCGGACGGGUGGGGAAUACAUCGGAAUCUACUUUUUCGCGGGGGAUAACGUAGGGAAACUUACGCUAAUACCACAUACGACCUACGGGUGAAAGCAGGGAAUCUUCAGACCUUGGGCGAUUGAAUGAGCCGAUUUCGGUUUAGCUAGGUGGCGGGGUAAAGGCCCACCAAGGCGACGAUCCGUAGCUGGCCAGAGAGGAUGAGCGGCCACGCGGGAACAGGGCGACGGGCCAGACUCCGACGGGAGGCAGCAGUGGGGAAUUUCGGGCAGUGGGAGCAAGGCUGAUCCAGCCAUGCCGCGUGGGUGAAGAAGGCCUUCGGGUUGUAAAGCCCUUUUGUUGGGAAAGAAAAGCCGCAGGUUAAUACGCCGCUGUUCUGACGGUACCCAAAGAAUAAGCACCGGCUAACUUCGU